rnacentral:rRNA from 1 species
GAUGAACGCUGGCGGCGUGCCUAAUACAUGCAAGUCGAGCGAACAGACGAGGAGCUUGCUCCUCUGACGUUAGCGGCGGACGGGUGAGUAACACGUGGAUAACCUACCUAUAAGACUGGGAUAACUUCGGGAAACCGGAGCUAAUACCGGAUAAUAUAUUGAAUCGCAUGGUUUAAUAGUGAAAGACGGUUUUGCUGUCACUUAUAGAUGGAUCCGCGCCGCAUUAGCUAGUUGGUAAGGUAACGGCUUACCAAGGCAACGAUGCGUAGCCGACCUGAGAGGGUGAUCGGCCACACUGGAACUGAGACACGGUCCAGACUCCUACGGGAGGCAGCAGUAGGGAAUCUUCCGCAAUGGGCGAAAGCCUGACGGAGCAACGCCGCGUGAGUGAUGAAGGUCUUCGGAUCGUAAAACUCUGUUAUUAGGGAAGAACGAAUGUGUAAGUAACUAUGCACGUCUUGACGGUACCUAAUCAGAAAGCCACGGCUAACUACGUG